rnacentral:lncRNA from 1 species
GGUCUCCCGACCCCAAACACUUGCGGUGCCCCCCCAUUUAGCCCCCAAAACUUCUCCCGGGCGUCUCCCCGGGCUGAGGAAGCCGGCGACCCCUCCUCGCCGCCUUUGGGGCGCUCGCCAGGCGCCUCCGGGUUGCUGGGGCUGCCCCCUCCUCUCCUCACAGCGCCAGCUCGGGCUCACCUCAGGGACGAGGGGGAGCACGAGCCCCUCCUCACCCCAAAACGACGCCCCUCGGCACCCCACCAAGGGCAUGGCGCUCCCCGCUCCCCCUCCCCGGGGGCCGCCGUAUGGCCGCUGCUCCCUUCCCCCGCGGCUCCUCUCCAUCCCACUCCCUGCCCACCCGGCACCCCAGGGUGCUGCCCGGCUCCCUCACCGCUCUCUCCUCGGGGCCGUUUCUCCUCGUCGCUGCCUCCGUUAACGCCGCUGCCCCCCGCUCGGGGCUCCGCUCGCCGCCCUUCAGCCCAGGCCCUGCUCCCUGCGGAGCCCCUCCGCUGCGGCUCCGCUGCACCUGCGGCGGGGCCGGGAGGAGGAGAGGGCACCCCCGCUCCGUCCUCCCUCAACUUCUCAUCCCUUCCCUCCGCCUCGCCGCCCCGGCUCUGCCCUCGACCCUCCCGGAGCCAGCAGCGGCCCCUGGGCCAGACGAGCGGAGGCUCCCCCCUGGCCGGCACCGGCGAGCCGCUGUCCGGGUCCCCGGGCGCCCUGCCGCCCCAUGCACUGCCCCAGCGCCCCGGACGGUGGGCAGGGGCUCCCGGCGGGGCAGGUGCCCUGGGCACGCCUCUGGCGGGUGGGACCGGGGCUGAGCUCCACCAAUCGGCCCCGCUGCGGCGGGAGGAGGAGGAGGAGGAGGAGGAAGGAGCGGCCCAGGUUUCCAAACUGUGUGUGCAAGUAACACCAUUUACAGCCAUUGUUACCCUGUUUAAAGAAGGAUGGCACCACAAACCGAGGGAGCCUGUUCGAUGUCUUGACCUCCCGUACUACAGCUGCUGGAAGCGCCAGAAAUUUGCACGUGUCCUGUGGGUGUGCUUGUGUGUACCACAGACGGGGAUGCAGACCAACAAGUACUGGGUGGGGUGUUAGAAAGGUUGGUGACACUCGCAGAUGUCAGAAGGCAACGUGUCACAGACCAGCCUGAGAAUGGGGACAAAUCAUGCCCACCCAAGAAAAAAAAGAAGACUGAUUUAUGAAUGCAUUUUAGAGCAGUAAAAGGAACUAAUACAGCGACAUGAUUCUCUGGUAGUGUUACAAAAUGUGUAAUGAGCUAUCCCAAGACUUGAGAAGCACUGUUAUGUAGGAGGGAAAAAUUUGACCUGCAGUUAUACCCCAGAAAAUCAUCAUUCACUAUUCCUGAAACAACACUGUUGAAGGAAGAUUAGAUCCUAAACUGCUU